GGACCCGCACAAGUAGUGGAGCAUGUGGUUUAAUUCGAUGCAACGGAAGAACCUUACCAGGGUUUGACAUCCUGCGAAUCUCUUGGAAACGAGAGAGUGCCUUCGGGAACGCAGUGACAGGUGGUGCAUGGCUGUCGUCAGCUCGUGUCGUGAGAUGUUGGUUAAGUCCCGCAACGAGCGCAACCCACGUCUUUAGUUGCCAGCAUUUAGUUGGGCACUCUAGAGAGACCGCCGGUGACAAACCGGAGGAAGGUGUGGAUGACGUCAAGUCAUCAUGCCCCUUACGUCCUGGCUACACACGUACUACAAUGCUACGGACAAAGGGCAGCAAGUUCGCGAGGACAAG
rnacentral:rRNA from 1 species